rnacentral:rRNA from 2 species
GGGUUGUGAGGUUAAGCGACUAAGCGUACACGGUGGAUGCCCUGGCAGUCAGAGGCGAUGAAGGGCGUGCUAAUCUGCGAUAAGCGCCGGUAAGGUGAUAUGAACCGUUAUAACCGGCGAUACCCGAAUGGGGAAACCCAGUGUGACUCGUCACACUAUCAUUAACUGAAUCCAUAGGUUAAUGAGGCGAACCGGGGGAACUGAAACAUCUAAGUACCCCGAGGAAAAGAAAUCAACCGAGAUUCCCCCAGUAGCGGCGAGCGAACGGGGAGGAGCCCAGAGCCUGAAUCAGCAUGUGUGUUAGUGGAAGCGUCUGGAAAGGCGCGCGAUACAGGGUGACAGCCCCGUACACAAAAGCGCAUGUGCUGUGAGCUCGAUGAGUAGGGCGGGACACGUGGUAUCCUGUCUGAAUAUGGGGGGACCAUCCUCCAAGGCUAAAUACUCCUGACUGACCGAUAGUGAACCAGUACCGUGAGGGAAAGGCGAAAAGAACCCCGGCGAGGGGAGUGAAAAAGAACCUGAAACCGUGUACGUACAAGCAGUGGGAGCACCCUUUUGGGUGUGACUGCGUACCUUUUGUAUAAUGGGUCAGCGACUUAUAUUCUGUAGCAAGGUUAACCGAAUAGGGGAGCCGGAGGGAAACCGAGUCUUAAUUGGGCGUUAAGUUGCAGGGUAUAGACCCGAAACCCGGUGAUCUAGCCAUGGGCAGGUUGAAGGUUGGGUAACACUAACUGGAGGACCGAACCGACUAAUGUUGAAAAAUUAGCGGAUGACCUGUGGCU